rnacentral:rRNA from 1 species
UACGUAGGGGGCCAGCGUUGUCCGGAAUCAUUGGGCGUAAAGAGCGCGUAGGCGGCCAGACAAGUCCGGUGUGAAAGUCACAGGCUCAACCUGUGAAUGCCGCUGGAAACUGUCUGGCUAGAGUCCGGAAGGGGCGAGUGGAAUUCCUGGUGUAGCGGUGAAAUGCGCAGAUAUCAGGAAGAACACCAAUGCGAAGGCAGCUCUCUGGGACGGUACUGACGCUAAGGCGCGAAAGCGUGGGAGCAAACAGG